rnacentral:rRNA from 1 species
UACGAAGGGGGCUAGCGUUGCUCGGAAUUACUGGGCGUAAAGCGCACGUAGGCGGAUCUUUAAGUCAGGGGUGAAAUCCUGGAGCUCAACUCCAGAACUGCCUUUGAUACUGGGGAUCUCGAGUCCGGAAGAGGUGAGUGGAACUCCGAGUGUAGAGGUGAAAUUCGUAGAUAUUCGGAAGAACACCGGUGGCGAAGGUGGCUCUCUGGACCGAUACUGACGCUGAGGCGCGAAAGCGUGGGGAGCAAACAGGG